GAGCUCUAAAAAAUAAGUAAAUCUUGAGAUGAAAAUGCGAAUCCCUUUUGAAAAAAAUCAAAUAACUCUGGUGAUAUCGGAGAAAUAUUGGAGAUAUUGGUGUCGCUGAAAGUCAAGGGUAAAUCUACAUCUAAUUAAGCUGAUUAUCGCCUACAAUUCUAAAAAAAUUAAGGACUUCUCACAUACCUAUUGGCUAUUAAUUAGCUAAUUAUUCCCAACUGUGGAAUCAUUAUUCAAUAAUUAUUGCAGAUUAAAAAUAGCUAAUUUGAAUUCAACCAAUGAAUGUUCAGAACAUUGAUUAGGAGAAAGGAAAAAGAAAUAACAGCAGUACAGUAGAGAACAAAAUACAAGGCAGGGCAUGUUUUUAGUUGUGUCAUAUACUCAAGAUAUUUGUAUAAUAAUAUUAUGGAUUUUAACAAAAUUCGACCGGGUCAUCACUAAUAAAUUCUUUUUCCACCAACUAGCUUCCACGUUGCUAUUAUAUAUUCGACGAGAAUUAGUAUAUUGAAUACUUGCUGGGACGGAGGAGCUUAGGACAAACCCCAAUAGAAAAUCAAAUAGGUUAAUCAUUACUUCACUUUCACAUCCACUCAUCACAAUGCAUUGUAAUCGCGGCGGUACCUUUGGUAAUAAUUGAAUAAUAAUUUUCAUGUGUGUAUUAUCAAAUUAGUACAUAAAUAUUUGAUAAAUUUUUAUUGAAAUAUUUGUUUUAUUGUAGCUGUAAAUCUAAUGAAAUAUAUUCCAUAUUAACA
rnacentral:lncRNA from 1 species